AAGCAACGCAAUGCACCAGGUCCAUUUGGGAAACCCGACCUUCUGUUUACCUCACCACCUCCUGGAUAUGGCAAUGUGCUGCACAUAGUUGACCCAGACCUUUUAGACUACGCCAAGCAAUUAAUCUGUGAGGUGGAAGAGCCUUCACUGGUAGCAAACCAGGAAUUCAGAGACAUGUGCCAGAACAUUUUAGAAAACAGCCAAUUUCCCUGCACACCUGAUGGUUGCCUUGCUGCAUACCUCAUGCUAGUCCAAGAGCUGACAACUGCCAUGAACAGAAAUGCAGUUCCUACACCUUCUACGUUUGCAGAGGCAAAUGACAUAUACAUCUUUCUGAAGAGACAGAGGAUGGAAGGUGCACCAGUAAACAUUUCCAAUGACCAAUAAAAUCAUACAACAUUGUUUGUUAACAUUUAUUUAUCCUUGUUUACAAUCAACAGGUAAUUUGAAAACUGUCUGACCAACAAAAUGUACAAUAAAAUGUUGAAAA